rnacentral:rRNA from 1 species
AUUGAACGCUGGCGGCAGGCCUAACACAUGCAAGUCGAGCGGAUGAAGAGAGCUUGCUCUCUGAUUUAGCGGCGGACGGGUGAGUAAUGCCUAGGAAUCUGCCUGGUAGUGGGGGAUAACGUUCCGAAAGGAACGCUAAUACCGCAUACGUCCUACGGGAGAAAGCAGGGGACCUUCGGGCCUUGCGCUAUCAGAUGAGCCUAGGUCGGAUUAGCUAGUUGGUGAGGUAAUGGCUCACCAAGGCUACGAUCCGUAACUGGUCUGAGAGGAUGAGCAGUCACACUGGAACUGAGACACGGUCCAGACUCCUACGGGAGGCAGCAGUGGGGAAUAUUGGACAAUGGGCGAAAGCCUGAUCCAGCCAUGCCGCGUGUGUGAAGAAGGUCUUCGGAUUGUAAAGCACUUUAAGUUGGGAGGAAGGGCAGUAAGCUAAUACCUUGCUGUUUUGACGUUACCGACAGAAUAAGCACCGGCUAACUUCGUGCCAGCAGCCGCGGUAAGAC